AGUGAACGCUGGCGGUAGGCCUAACACAUGCAAGUCGAACGGCAGCACAGUAAGAGCUUGCUCUUACGGGUGGCGAGUGGCGGACGGGUGAGGAAUACAUCGGAAUCUACUUUUUCGUGGGGGAUAACGUAGGGAAACUUACGCUAAUACCGCAUACGACCUACGGGUGAAAGCAGGGGAUCUUCGGACCUUGCGCGAUUGAAUGAGCCGAUGUCGGAUUAGCUAGUUGGCGGGGUAAAGGCCCACCAAGGCGACGAUCCGUAGCUGGUCUGAGAGGAUGAUCAGCCACACUGGAACUGAGACACGGUCAAGAGUACUACGGGAGGCAGCAGUGGGGAAUAUUGGACAAUGGGCGCAAGCCUUAUCCAGCCAUCCCAAGUGGGUGGAGAAGGCCUUCGGGUUGUAAAGCCCUUUUGUUGGGAAAGAAAAGCAGCAGGUUAAUACCCCGCUGUUCUGACGGUACCCAAAAAAUAAGCACCGGCUAACUUCGUG
rnacentral:rRNA from 1 species